rnacentral:rRNA from 1 species
GCUUGUCUCAAAGAUUAAGCCAUGCAUGUCUAAGUAUAAACGAUCUAUACUGUGAAACUGCGAAUGGCUCAUUAUAUCAGUUAUAGUUUAUUUGAUAGUCCCCUUACUACUUGGAUAACCGUAGUAAUUCUAGAGCUAAUACAUGCUAACAGCCCCAACUUUACGGACGGGGUGUAUUUAUUAGAUCCAACCAACCGCGGCGGGCAACCGGCGCGAACCUGGUGAAUCAUGAUAACUGAGCGAAUCGUAUGGCCUCGCGCCGACGAUGGUUCAUUCAAGUUUCUGCCCUAUCAGCUUUCGAUGGUAGGGUAUUGGCCUACCAUGGCAUUGACGGGUAACGGAGAAUUAGGGUUCGAUUCCGGAGAGGGAGCCUGAGAAACGGCUACCACAUCCAAGGAAGGCAGCAGG